AGCGGAACAGUCGAACAGACAGGGCCUCCCACGAGACCCGAAGAAAAAUUUUUGGAAGUCCUUAACGGACUA
rnacentral:snRNA from 1 species